CUUGGAUAAGGAAAGGAACCAUCGUUAGCAUAGGUAUCUUUAGAGUAGAGCGAUAAUGCUCCGCUCUCCCGCGUGUGGCCGCUGUCUGCAGUGUGGGCUGGGCCAGUGCCAGCCGCCUGUCACCACCUCCUGCCAUGCAGCAUGGUCUCCUCUUCCUGCUGGUGGUGCUGCGGCUGGAGGCCAGAAGCAGCCCCUGGCCAGCGAGACGGCCGAGGUGUGGUGUCUGCCUGGUUGCCCAGGAGGAAGUUGGGAACAUCCUGGCCUUUCUCAUUCCUUUUGUAGCCUGCAUUUUCCAGUGCUACCUGUACCUGUUCUACAGUUCAGCCCGCACGGCGAAGGUGCUGCUGCUGCUGCUCUUCAUCUGCCUGGGCAACAUGUACCUGCACGGCCUGCGCAACCUGUGGCAGAUCCUCUUCCACAUCGGUGUGGCGUGUCUGUCCUCACACCAGAUCCUCAUGCGGCAGCUGCAGGAGACACAGUCGGACUGCAGCGUGUGAGGAUGCGGUGGCUCUGGCUCUGCCCUGAGGGUUGGUCCCUGCCUCCUUUCCUGCCCUGCCUCAGCCCGCUUCCCACCUGUGAGCUUCCUUUGGACCACGUCGGGCGCAGGGCUGGAACUCAGGUCCUGGCAGGGCCGGGUGCCCCAUGUGUGGUGCUGCAGACCACAGGCUGGUCCGCCCAGGGCAUGCUCAGGAGGGCACCGGAGAGCAGGCGGAGCCUGGGGUCUGCUGAGUCAGCCUCGCAGUAACGGUGUCUCCAGGAGCCGUCCUGAAAUCCGGGUCUGUUCUGGAGCCCAGAUGGGGCUCAGUGUUCUUCUUUUGAGGAGAGGUCAGAACAGGGUGAAUUAAAAACUUAUGUAGGGUUCAUAAAUACAAGCUAGAUAAAUUUUGUUUACAGUUUUGAGAACUUAGGUUUGCUGUACCUUUGGAAUAUUUCUAUUUUGGAUAUAAAUUGAACUUCAGUAGGACAAGAACAAAUUUAAGCUGAGAAAAUGGCAAAGAAGCCUGAGUUUAUUUAAUUGUAGAAGGGUGUCUGACCCUUGUAAGGUGGAGGGACCAUGAGAGCAGAGAAACGUGUUGUGCUUCCUUGCAGGGCGUAUCUGAGUGCUUUUUAAAUUGGGUGAGCAGCCAGCACUGGCGGGUGGUCAGCCUCGAGGCACGCGCAGGGACAGUGUGCCUGACGCCAGCCACACUGGAGGAGACCAGGGAAGGGGACCCUGUGGUGCGUCCCAGACCCUCUCGGAGAGGCGCUGUCACCGCCUGUUGUUCUGCUGCUGAUCCUGUGCACCUCUACACAGAGGGCUGCUCGAGUUAAUUACUCCUGUACCUUUCCUGAGAAUCUGGAUUGGAUCCAGGGCCUCAUUUUUAAUGAACAAAAGCCAGGAUGUAGCUGUGUGUGUGGUGGUGCGAGCUUGUAAUCCCAGCACUGUGGGAGGCUGAGGCAGGAGGAUUGCCAGUUCAAGGCCAGUCUGGGCAACUUAGUGAGACCUUGUGUCAAAAUAAAAAACAAUUUUGAAGGGCUGGAGAAUGUAGCUCAGUGGAAGGGCUCUAGGUUCAAUCCCCAGUACCCUAAACAAACAUAAUAACAGAAGUAGAUGUUAACUCUCCAAAAUUUUAUAAAGGUAUAACUGACGCAUUAUUAAAACAAUUGAUUAUCAUUUUCCAAAAUAGGGCUCUGAGUGAGGUCCCUUAGGUCUCUGGGUGGCCCGUCUUACAGAGCCCACCCCCGGGUUGUCUGAGAAGUCUGGAAUCUGAGGGGCUUGAGCACAGCUGCCUGGAGCACUUGGGCUUGGGCCGUGCAGCUUGAUGAGCGGCAGGUCGUGUUCCGUGGCUUUUACAAGGGGAAGCCGUGACAGGUAUGAGGACGGGCUUGGGAGAAUUCAGCUGUGUUUGCUUAUUGCUGCUGCCUGUUGUCGUUGAGCUACCUUGGAAUCAUUUUAGGAAAAACAGAUUUCGGUGACUUGCAACUGGGUUGGGGAAAUGUUGCCACAGCAGCUUUCUUCUCUGGUACUGGAAUUUUCUGUUUAACCCAACUCGGAUCUGGAUGUGAAAACCAUCUUGGCAGCAUCCUCAGGUGUAAGCGUCGAGGUUGCUUCUCAGCGAUUUUCCCUACACUUAGCAGGUGAACUUUCAGUCUCCCGGGAGAUAACCUCCAGGGGCGUGGACGUAGGAAGGGGCCACACAGGAGAAAAAGAAGCACCAGGAAGCGUGGCUAAAACAGCGCAGAAAUCUGUUUAUUUUGAAUCUCGCAUGGCCCGGUGUCCUGUGGCCCUUUCCCCCAUGUGCUCUGGUGUCUGAGCUGUGACCCACGAGUCAGCAGGUUAGAAAUGGCCCCUGAAGGUGGCCUUGCUGGUGCCCACGGAGCGGAUGGAGCCGCCCCACACCUGGCCGAGCGUGGUCGGUCUGCACCCCUGGGUGUGAGACCCACUUUGCAGCAGAAACAGAACAGAGAGUGCAGCAGCCUACGUGGCUGGAAUCCAGCGGAGGGAGGCUGAUGAUGGAAAGGAAGUCCGGGGGUUUUGCUCAGGAGGCCAAGGGUUGGCUUUAGGCACAGAGGUGGUGGCGCCCUGUGGUCUCAUGUCACGAGCUGGUCCCGCAUCCAGCAGGGGCUCGGCCGCCCUGUGCUCGCUGCUGCUCGGGCCUUCGCUUUCCCUGCCCAUCACCUGAGGCCUGGAUCUGGGGAAGAGGAAACAGUGUCGAGGACAGAACCUGUAAAACGCCCCCAGGGUCUUGCGCUGCCACCAGUGCCCAGUCCCCUCGUGGACCAGGGCAGGGCUGUGCCCCGUGGAGGAUGCAGUGUGCUUUCCCCAGGACCGGCCGUGUGUGACGACGGGAAGGAGAGCCUGUUGAGGUGGCUGUCCCUCUUGGGACCAGAGGCCCCACGGCCUGAGUCCUGGGCUUGCUCCUUGGGCUUGCGCCCUGUUACUCCAGCAGCCUGUGAUGUGCACUGCGAACCAGCACCUGCAGUUCUUGAAAGGCCAGGAAAGGCUGUCGGAGUGCUGGAGGGGGCCAUUUUAACUGCCCUCUCUUCCCUCUGAGCCCCUUCUCCGGCUCCUCGCCUCUUUCCACCGCUGUGCCCCCACCCCAGGGACACAGGGACCCUGGAGUCUGGCGGAUGGAGCUGUCAUUGGCAUGGAGAGGGUGGGCGAGGGUGUGUGGGUGCCUAGCACUGCUCACAGAUGAUGGCCACGGGGCCUUGGGGCCUGGGCGGCAGGGCCUGAGGCAGGACCAGAACUGGGGCUCUGUCAGUGGAAGACAGUGGCUCCCCUGGGUGUGGGGCUGCACCUUUGUCCAGGGCCACCAUGGCUGUUCCUUGCAGGCCCUCAGAGAACCUGCUUAUGGUUUCCAGGGUACAGCGCAGGUGUGGACAGGUAGGGAUGCGGCUAUGUCAGACGUGGCUCCCAUCCCAAGUGUCCCUCUCAGGGCCCUGCCCAAGUUGGGGAAGCCCUGCCUGUGCACUGUGGGUGCUUUGGGUGGUGAGGGACAAGCAGGAUGUGCCCCGAGACGGGGCAGCUCCCUGGGUGGCUUGGGGACAGCUGGAUUCUUCCACCCAGCCAAGAGUCACAGUGGAGUGGCUGCCCGUCGGCCUCAGAUUCCCUCUCGGGGGAAUGACGACAACAUCACCUGCGGCCUUGGCGAGCUGUGUGGUAGUGGGGGCCCUGGGUGGGUCCAGGCCCAUGUGCGCACAGAGAAGGGCUGAGUCACCUGGCCCCGCGGUUCCCCAUCCCCGGCCACACAGAGGCGUGUGCAGGGUGCCGCAGUGUGCGUAGCUCAUCGUCCACUCCAGAUUCUCUGGAGCGGGAAUCUCCUGCUGCAAGGCACAGGACCCCCGUGACAGCAGGCUUCUGUUGCCGGGGAAACCUCGUCAGUGGGGACAUGGAGAAGGCUGUCAUUAGAAUCGGAAUGGCGAG
rnacentral:lncRNA from 1 species